GGCUCCGGCCAUAUCAGCCUAAAGGCGCCCGAUCUCCUCUGAUCUCGGAAGCUAAGCAGGGUCGGGCCUGCUUAGUAU
ensembl:rRNA 5S_rRNA 5S ribosomal RNA